rnacentral:piRNA from 1 species
UUCCCGGUCAGGGAAGUGCAGUUU